UUCGGAUUGUAGGCUGCAACUCGCCUACAUGAAGCUGGAAUUGCUAGUAAUCACAGGUCAGCAUACUGUGGUGAAUACGUUCCCGGGCCUUGUACACACCGCCCGUCACACCAUGAGAGUUGAGAAUACCCGAAGUCCAUGUCAAAGUGGCCGAAGGUAGGCUUGAUGAUUGGGGUGAAGUCGUAACAAGGUAGC
rnacentral:rRNA from 1 species